rnacentral:lncRNA from 1 species
AUGAGGCGCAAUAAACAUUGCAGCAGGUCGCGGAGGCCGGGCGGGGCGCGGAGGAAGGGUCUCUGCGAGAGACAAGAGGCAAUAAAGUGCAUUCAGCGGCAGCAGGCUCUGCCCAAACUCAGCACUCGCCUCCCAUCACCCGCGGGGGAGGGGGCGGCGAGAAGGGGAGGCAGCCCGCAAUGCCCAGCGCCCCACGCCGGGAGCCAUCCGAGCUGGAGCCUGCGCGAGUGCAGGGCGGCGGGGGUCACCUCAGCCGCCCGGCCGGCCCCGCCGUCGUGGCCCGGCUCCGCCGCCUCCGUCCGCGUGUGGGCGCACGCCCCGACGGGCCGGGACGCGGUCACCUGCCCGCGGCUCCCGCCCUCAGGGCCGCCGGGCCGGGCCGUGGAGCGACCGCCGGGGGCGCGACAGGGCCCGGCCGCCGCCACCAGCCCUCGUGUCUCCACGGCCUCUUCCAGGAGAAGGCGCUGUAGGACAAGCCUGGCCACUCUCCCCUCCGCGGGGCGAGGGGCCCACCGCCCCGCCGGCAGCUUCCCCCCCUGCCCGCCGGCCCACGGAAGAGGCCCAUCGGCGGGCGGGGGGCAUGGGCAGGGCUCCACCGCCCUCCUCGGGCGUCUCCAGCCUCGACCCAGUUGCCCCACUCCCUCCAGCCCCGCGGCCCCCCGUCUCACCCGGCCCGCAGACCCUGGCGCGCCCCGGUGCGCGCCCUCGCGCUCUCCCUGCCUAACCCGCAGUGCCGCGGGGCUCCUCUCGUGUGCCCCGCUGCCCUCCCGGUCACCAGCCCGCCCUUUGAAGUCGGGCACCCGCCUCUUCCCUCCCUGUCCCUUUGAUGCGGGUGCCAGAGCACCCUCCUUCCCGCCGGCUCCCUUCCCGCGGGCAGAGCCCCCGACCCCCGCACAUCCACCCUUGCCUCCUGCAAGCCGGGGCCCAGCAGAGUUCCCUGCCUCUGCUUCACCUGUUGCCUGCAGGCUCCACCUUCCCAAACCGUGCCCGGACACGACCCUGGCGGCACCCACCCUCACGGGCCGUGCCUACCCCGGCGAGACGCUCCCACGGCCCCCGGCCUCCCCUCCCUGCCCCGCACUCCUCGCCCUCUUCCCCCGCGGACCUAAGGUGUCGCCGCCGCUGCCCCCGUUUGAUGUUGAGGCGCGGCUCGACGCCGCCCUGCCCGCUCCGGGCCUCUGCUGCCACCGGAUCUGCCUGCGGGCGUGGGGUGCUGUGGGCAGGGGCCUUUGCAUGCCCACAUCCUGCUCGGCGAGGGCAUGGGCGACGAGGUGA